rnacentral:rRNA from 1 species
AUUGAACGCUGGCGGCAUGCUUUACACAUGCAAGUCGAACGGGUGAGGGGCGAACCUCUCAUUCAGUGGCGAACGGGUGAGUAAUGCAUCGGAACGUACCCUGUAGUGGGGGAGUAACGCCGGGAACCGGACGCUAAUACCGCAUAUUUCUCUACGGAGGAAAGACGGGGAGUUCGCAAGAACCUACGCGCUAUGGGAGCGGCCGAUGUCCGAUUAGCUUGUUGGUGGGGUAAUGGCCCACCAAGGCUACGAUCGGUAGCUGGUCUGAGAGGAUGAUCAGCCACACUGGGACUGAGACACGGCCCAGACUCCUACCGGAGGGCAGCAGUGGGGAAUUUUUGGACAAUGGGGCGAACCCUGAUCCAGCCGUGCCGCGUG